GUGCUCCCCCGCCAAUUCCUUUAAGUUUCAGCCUUGCGGCCGUACUUCCCAAGUGGCCCGCUUCGCGGCUUCCCUACGGCACCACGACGAUUCACGACCGUCGUGACACCUAGCGGGCAUCGUUUACGGCUAGGACUACCCGGGUAUCUAAUCCGGUUCGUGCCCCUAGCUUUCGUCCCUCACCGUCGGACCUGUUCUGGUAGGACGCCUUCGCCACCGGUGGUCCCCGGAGGAUUACAGGAUUUCACCCCUACCCCCCGAGUACCUCCUACCUCUCCCAGUCCCAAGCAAUGUAGUAUCCCAUGAAAGCCCAACGGUUAAGCCGCUGGAUUUCCCAGGGGACUUGCAAAGCCGGCUACGGACCCUUUAGACUCAAUAAUAUCGGCCACCACUCGAGCCGCCGGUAUUACCGCGGCGGCUGGCACCGGUCUUACCCGGCCCUUGCUAACAACCGUUUUUUAGACGGUUGGACAGGCACCCAAGGUGGAUGCCACUCGAUGUCCCCCUAUCGCAGUUGCCUGCAUUGUAGAGUUUUCGCGCCUGCUGCGCCCCGUAGGGCCUGGAUUCGUGUCUCAGAAUCCAUCUCCGGGCUCUUGCUCCCACAACCCGUACGGAUUACAGGCACGCCGGUACGUUACACCGGCGUCAACCUAAUCCGCCGCAGACCCAUCCAAAGGCGUUGCCUUUCGACCACCAAGCAUUCCAGCACUAGUGAUCCAUCCGGUAUUAUCCCCAGUUUCCCGGGGUUAUCCCAGACCCUUGGGCAGGUUAUCCACGUGUUACUGAGCAGU
rnacentral:rRNA from 1 species